GCCGAUCAUAAUAUUGUAGACUUUAUAGUAAUGCCGUUUCGUUUUUCUACACAGUCCUUCGACGAAACGGUUUCUUUGUUUUUUUUUUGGUUGAGGUCGAUUAAAUCGAAAAGUACGUAACAUCAUUUAUCGCUAUAUUAUUAUUAUAGCUCUCGGUGUCCGGGACGACCGGACCUGACUUUACCCCGGAAAAACAUCACGCCGACCCUCGGUCGCGUAUAUGACACGCACACCGGCGGUAUAUUAAUGGGCUCCGCGUCCAGUCCUGCAUCCGGAUUCCGCAGCGAGAGGUAGACGCGUGCAUUUGUCCGAGAACAUUUUUAUAUUCGGUACACGGCAACUUAUAUUUAUU